GGAAGUUGGGUGGAAGCAGCGCGGACCCACGGCGCACCGAACGCACUCCAACAGAACCCGACGCAGACACGCGCUUUCAACCGGCGGAGACACUGGCAGCUGAUCCAUAUGAAUUCCUCUUAUUAAGAAAAAUAAAGCAUCCAGGAUUCAAUGAAGAACUGACUAUCACCUUGUUAAUCAUUCAGAAACAUGUUGCAGGCUUAAGCCAUUUUUGAUAUAGAUACUGAAACAAUUACUUGCUAAGAGCAAACUUGAAGGUAUGGAUAAGGCCCUGAGUCAUCUUCCUGAGCUGAAUGAUAGUUAAGCUGAAUGACUGGACCUCACUGUGGGAACAACAAGAUCAACAAGAGGAGCAAGAACAACAUCAAGAGUCAGGGCCCGGGGGUCCUGACGGGUACAGGAUGGGUACAGACCCACACAGGAAUCCCAGAGUGUGUUCCACAGCAGGACACGCCUGCGCUGAAAGAGUGGGCAGAAAGGAGCUGACCUGGGAUUAUGAUCCAAACUCAGCUGGGCCUCCCCUACCUGCCCCAGGAUUGUGGAGUGAGAACGUUGCAGCAGGGGAGAACAACGCAGCAAAGCACAGCAGGGGAACCGGAAAUGCUCACCCUUUGACAGGGUACUUUUAGUUCUGGGGCCUUAUCUUAAGGAUAUUCCAACAUAUACAAAAAGAUUCAUGCACAGAGAUAUUUACUUUAGUAUUAUUUACCAUAGGAAAAAAGUUGGAAACAAUACAUUUUAUGUUCUGUAAAAUGAAAGAACAGUUAAAUAAAUCAUGGCUCUAAGACGACUCCAGGGCUGUGUACGGAAGUUCAGGGACUGAAUCAGUUGAGGCUGUUCCACCUGAGCCUAAGCUUCCUCUGCUGUAUGUCAGGAAUCAGGUGGGGGCCAAGCGAGAUCACCACAGUGCAGGCCAGUGUGCAGGGCACAGGUGGGCGCC
rnacentral:lncRNA from 10 species